CCUACGGGAGGCUGCAGUGGGGAAUAUUGGACAAUGGGCGAAAGCCUGAUCCAGCCAUGCCGCGUGUGUGAAGAAGGCCUUCGGGUUGUAAAGCACUUUCAGUGGGGAAGAAAGCCUUGGGGCUAAUACCCUCGAGGAAGGACAUCACCCACAGAAGAAGCACCGGCUAACUCCGUGCCAGCAGCCGCGGUAAUACGGAGGGUGCGAGCGUUAAUCGGAAUUACUGGGCGUAAAGCGCGCGUAGGCGGUCUGAUAAGCCGGUUGUGAAAGCCCCGGGCUCAACCUGGGAACGGCAUCCGGAACUGUCAGGCUAGAGUGCAGGAGAGGAAGGUAGAAUUCCCGGUGGAGCGGUGAAAUGCGUAGAGAUCGGGAGGAAUACCAGUGGCGAAGGCGGCCUUCUGGACUGACACUGACGCUGAGGUGCGAAAGCGUGGGUAGCAAACAGGAUUAGAUACCCCAGUAGUC
rnacentral:rRNA from 1 species